rnacentral:piRNA from 1 species
GAAGGAGAUGUGGGCAAAGCUCUGAUGGG